rnacentral:rRNA from 1 species
UGGGGAAUAUUGGACAAUGGGGGCAACCCUGAUCCAGCAAUGCCGCGUGAGUGAUGAAGGCCUUCGGGUUGUAAAGCUCUUUUGCCAGGGACGAUGAUGACGGUACCUGGAGAAUAAGCCCCGGCUAACUUCGUGCCAGCAGCCGCGGUAAUACGAAGGGGGCUAGCGUUGUUCGGAAUUACUGGGCGUAAAGGGCGCGUAGGCGGUUUGAUUAGUCAGAUGUGAAAUUCCCGGGCUUAACCUGGGCGCUGCAUUUGAUACUGUCAGGCUUGAAUUCAGGAGAGGAUAGCGGAAUUCCCAGUGUAGAGGUGAAAUUCGUAGAUAUUGGGAAGAACACCGGUGGCGAAGGCGGCUAUCUGGACUGACAUUGACGCUGAGGCGCGAAAGCGUGGGGAGCAAACAGGAUUAGAUACCCCCGUAGUCC